rnacentral:rRNA from 1 species
AAUAGAUACCCAGGUAGUCCACGCCGUAAACGAUGAGUGCUAAGUGUUAGGGGGUUUCCGCCCCUUAGUGCUGCAGCUAACGCAUUAAGCACUCCGCCUGGGGAGUACGGUCGCAAGACUGAAACUCAAAGGAAUUGACGGGGGCCCGCACAAGCGGUGGAGCAUGUGGUUUAAUUCGAAGCAACGCGAAGAACCUUACCAGGUCUUGACAUCCCAUUGACCGCUAUGGAGACAUAGCUUUCCCUUCGGGGACAGUGGUGACAGGUGGUGCAUGGUUGUCGUCAGCUCGUGUCGUGAGAUGUUGGGUUAAGUCCCGCAACGAGCGCAACCCUUGUUCUUAGUUGCCAUCAUUUAGUUGGGCACUCUAAGGAGACUGCCGGUGACAAACCGGAGGAAGGUGGGGAUGACGUCAAAUCAUCAUGCCCCUUAUGACCUGGGCUACACACGUGCUACAAUGGACGGUACAAACGGUUGCCAACCCGCGAGGGGGAGCUAAUCCGAUAAAACCGUUCUCAGUUCGGAUUGUAGGCUGCAACUCGCCUACA